rnacentral:rRNA from 1 species
CACGUAGGGCGCAAGCGUUGUCCGGAAUUAUUGGGCGUAAAGAGCUCGUAGGCGGUCUGUUGCGUCCGCUGUGAAAACUCGGGGCUUAACCCCGAGCCUGCAGUGGAUACGGGCAGACUAGAGGUAGGUAGGGGAGAAUGGAAUUCCCGGUGUAGCGGUGGAAUGCGCAGAUAUCGGGAGGAACACCGGUGGCGAAGGCGGUUCUCUGGGCCUUACCUGACGCUGAGGAGCGAAAGCGUGGGGAGCGAACAGG